rnacentral:lncRNA from 1 species
UCAUCAAAGUUUUAGUUAUUUCAAAGACCUUCAAAAUGGUCACAAAUUUCAUGCCAUUUGGAUUUUUAAUGAUAGAGUUAUGCAUUUUUGAAGUUUGGAAAAAUCACUCAUUUAAUGGUAUAGGUCAAAAAUGACCUAUAAUGUAACCUCAUAUCACAUGCUCAUAAAAGUUGAAUUUUCUCUCACUCCAAACAUAAACGUUGAAGUGGACAUCUUGAAUUUGAUUAUGCAACUUGGAAAUCUUUCAUCUCAUAAAAAUUGAGCAAGUUAUGGCCUUGGGAAGUUGACUUUCAAAUUAUGGUUUAGACAAAAUGACCUAUAAUGUUUCAACAUAGAAAAUGAUUUUCCAAGAAAAAAUAGCUCUAGGUAUCAACAUGAAAGUUGUUUGGAAUGUCAUUUAGAGUAACGUUUCUCUUGGGAUCAUUUUCAUAUGGUGAAAAUUGUAGGAGAUAGGGUCUAGGGAGACCCAGUUUUGAUAAGAUGAAUUCAUCUGGCCAACCACCAUCAACCGACUUGCUAACCUUUAAUUCUCUUGACUUUCUAGGCUCAUGGUAGAUCAUAUAUGCAUAAGAUGAUGAAUUUUGAAGUGUCCCUUGAGAAAUUUGAUCAAUUGGUGAGAUAGCUUGUUGAAGAAGUUACUCAAGAUACCCAGUCAAACUAGGGUUUCCAGAUCAUAUAUGCAUAAGAUGAUGAAUUUUGAAGUGUCCCUUGAGAAAUUUGAUCAAUUGGUGAGAUAGCUUGUUGAAGAAGUUACUCAAGAUACCCAGUCAAACUAGGGUUUCCAAGGCAAAUCACCCUCAAACUCUUGAAGAAUACUUGAUCAAUAUAACAUGUAGAGGUCAUUGGGACUCAUAUAUGAUGCUAAUAAACAUUCUUGGAUCAAUUCAUGGUUGUGCUCUUUGUCAUGAGGGUCUCAAACCCUAGAUAUGAACUUGAUAGAUCAAUGAAGAUCAUGCCAUACCUACAAAAGAGUUAGGCAAAUGCAAAGACAUAUUUUUGUAUUUUUGUUAGUAAAAUGAUGAUAUACAAGUAUGAUACAAUCACAUAGUGUUUGGUGAUCUCUCCCAAAACAAACUCAAUGAAAAAGGGGUAAGGAGGAUGCCAAUGUAUGAUCUCAAUGCUAAUGCUUAUGAUGAAAUUGAAUGAGAGAUCUUAGGGUCAAAAUUGGGGUCUUUCACUCACCAUACUCGACUAUCACGUCAAUUGAACCUUAAAGGACUCAAGUGUUCAAAUAAGUUUCAUGGACCUCCUACUUUGAUUGAUCAACUAAUUUUUUAGAAUAAUACAACACUUAUAUAUUAAAAAAAACUGUUAAAACUGUUUUUAAUUGAUCCGACAUGAGAAACACAUAAUCGUUAAAUCUAUAUUAAGCUUCAUAGUAGGUGUACUCUACAUGUACGCUAGUUAAUAAAGAAUUUUGGCUGAACUGAGUCACUAUAUUAGGCUAGUUUUAUUAAGAUUUUUACCGGCUUGAAACCCGUCUUAUUUCUAAUAGAUAUGUUUACUACUUCAAUCCCCAGCAUCCUAUCAUCAAGUUUAAUGUCGACAUUAUGCAAUGAUACGUGUCAAGUAGUGUAAAAAUGAUUCUAACUCAUCAUAGAUAUCAUCAAUUUUAAAUAAUUUUAAUUAAAUGGAAAGAAACACGUACUUCAAAAAUUGUAGUAAUGCGUGGCGCCGAUUACCGCUUGCAAGGAAUUGUGGGCCGGCACGUUAAUUAAGUCAAGAUAAAUGGUAAGGAUAAUAACAUACAAUAAAAUAACAAACAUAUUUUACAAUCUUGUUCAAAGCCAAAUAUUACUACUUUUUUAUUUUUAUAUUUAAAUGUCAGACUUGUUCACAAAGCAUCCUUCAACAUUCUCAAGUUUCGACAGAAACAAACAAUGGGAUGUUCC